rnacentral:misc_RNA from 1 species
AUUAAGAGAGAGAAAAGGAGAAAGAAGCAGGAGGAAUCAUUACGUGAAGCUAGAAAAAACUACCAACAUAUGGCAAUUGUGUGGGCAAAUUUAGCCCGGGAUUCAAAUGUGGCAACAGCCCUUGGUUUGGUAUUUUUUGUUAUUUUUUACCGAACUGUGGUGUUCAGCUACAGGAGACAAAAGAAGGAUUAUGAGGAUCGAUUAAAGAUUGAGA